UGGGGAAUUUUGGACAAUGGGGGGAACCCUGAUCCAGCCAUGCCGCGUGUCUGAAGAAGGCCUUCGGGUUGUAAAGGACUUUUGUUGGGGAGGAAAACUCUGGGAUUAAUACUUCUAGAGGCUGACAGUACCCAAAGAAUAAGCACCGGCUAACUACGUGCCAGCAGCCGCGGUAAUACGUAGGGUGCAAGCGUUAAUCGGAAUUACUGGGCGUAAAGCGUGCGCAGGCGGUUGUUUAAGUCUGAUGUGAAAUCCCCGAGCUUAACUUGGGAACUGCAUUGGAGACUGGACAGCUAGAGUGUGUCAGAGGGGGGUAGAAUUUCUGGUGUAGCAGUGAAAUGCGUAGAGAUCAGAAGGAAUACCGAUGGCGAAGGCAGCCCCCUGGGAUAACACUGACGCU
rnacentral:rRNA from 1 species